rnacentral:rRNA from 1 species
AUUGAACGCUGGCGGCAGGCUUAACACAUGCAAGUCGAGCGGGGUGAUGGUGCUUGCACUAUCACUUAGCGGCGGACGGGUGAGUAAUGCUUAGGAAUCUGCCUAUUAGUGGGGGACAACAUCUCGAAAGGGAUGCUAAUACCGCAUACGUCCUACGGGAGAAAGCAGGGGAUCACUUGUGACCUUGCGCUAAUAGAUGAGCCUAAGUCGGAUUAGCUAGUUGGUGGGGUAAAGGCCUACCAAGGCGACGAUCUGUAGCGGGUCUGAGAGGAUGAUCCGCCACACUGGGACAGAGACACGGCCCAGACUCCUACGGGAGGCAGCAGUGGGGAAUAUUGGACAAUGGGGGGAACCCUGAUCCAGCCAUGCCGCGUGUGUGAAGAAGGCCUUAUGGUUGUAAAGCACUUUAAGCGAGGAGGAGGCUCUUUUGGUUAAUACCCAAGAUGAGUGGACGUUACUCGCAGAAUAAGCACCGGCUAACUCUGCGCCAGCAGCCGCCGUAA